rnacentral:lncRNA from 1 species
GUUGGUAUCCGAUGUUUAGAAACGGGAGUUCUUGGUGCUUAUUACAACGUAACGAUAAAUGCAGAAGGCAUAAAAGAUGAAAAUUACAAAACUGGGGUAUUAAAUGAAAUAGAAGAGUAUCGCUUGUUGGCAGAAAAAGGUUGUGAAGAAGUUCUGCAAAUACUGCAAGAAAGAAGAGCUUGAAAAUAUUUGUCCUCCAUACGUAUGCACAUUUAAUAUUUUUGUUGUGACAAUCUAAUUGUGUUUGUUUUAUAAACUUAUAAACUUUUUAUUCACUUUUAUCAUUGAGUAUUUGUUAUUUAUAUAUAAUUUCAAGUACUGUUCAUUUUUAACCAGUGACUGUUUUUUUAAUAUUUUAUAAUUAUGUAUAUAUAGUUUAAUUUUUUAAAUUGUUGAUGAAAUUUUUUCCAUAUCUAUUGUUGAAUGUUUUUGGAAAGUCUAUUUUAACAUAAGUUGAAACGUUACAUAAAAUAUGCUCGUGCCAACUGUUAGUAAAACGCAGCUGUGAAACACGUAAAGUGAGUUUGUUAUCUGUAUCAGGGGUAUGUGGUCACUUUAGUGCAUCCUUGACUAUUGCAUUACAAGGAUAAAUAAAAUCACUAAAAUGUUUUUGCACCUUGUAACAGUAUUUAGAUGUGGUGCUAUAUAGAUAUUGUAUAGUUUUAAAAACUGAAAUACUGAGGCUUUUAAUAUAAAUAUAUUAAUUAUGUUGAGGCAUCAAAUUUUGAAUGCUAAAAAUAUGAAUUCAUAUACAAUCAAAAAUUCAGUUUUAUAACACUGAAAAUUGACUUUCAUGUUUCAUUAAAGAACUGAAUUCGGUGUUAUUGAUUGUUGCUUAUCAAAGUCUUCAUUCAGGGUUGCCACGCUACCUGGAAAAUUGAACAAAAAAAAAAAAAAAAGUCAGGGAAUUCGAAAAUUGACCGGAAAAAUCAAGGUAUUUAAUUAUUUUAGUCAAAAUCCAGAAACGUGAGGGAAUUUAAUGUUGUAAUCUCCAAAAAAGUGAUUUUCGUGCCGACAUCAGAAGCGAUCACUUUCUUGGCAAAUCGCGUGAGCGUCAUUUGGACAGCUGCCGUAGAGCCAAUUUUCGCAGCAGCAGUCAGAUUGUCUUUUAGAAAGGCAAAGCAAGUUUCUAGUAACCUCGAGAAUCCAGAGCUACGCACGUGCAGUGCAUGUUGAACAAAAGUAAAUCCUCCCCAUUCUCGUAUGAAACAAAAUCCUUUAAACCUUUUCUUCUUUCUUAAAUACCUUUUCAAUUUUUAAUAUUUAAGUAAUUAACUUCAUUUUAAUGUUAUUUAUAUCAUUUAAUAUGUGUUCUUCCUUUUAAAUUUAUGUAUUAUUAGUUAAUAAUACUUUCAAAUUUCAUGCAAUUUUCUCGGGCAUAUUCUAGCAGUAAUAUGACAUACCAUCAUGAAAUUUAGCACACAUAUUUUUUACUUAUGUAUGCUGCUAAAUAAAUAUAAAAUACUUGAAUUUAUUUUUAAAACAUAAUUAAAUAGAUUUAGUUCUUAAGCUGCAAAAUGUCAGCAGAAAAAACAUUUUUAAAUCCUGAUUGGGCAGAUUCUAAUCUCAAUCCUCAGUGGAGAAAGUAACUCCUAUUAUAGUUAUAAAAGUAAUGUUUUGGGGAUUAUACAUAUACAUGCAUAUAAAGUCAUAUGUAACUGGCAAAUUUUUGUGUUUUUAAAUGGUACGCCAUAAUUAAUUUACCCUCAGCACAGCCAAUGUGCAUUCCAGAUAGCCUGGAAUUUUCUUGAAACAUAUAUGGAAAGUCUGAAACAAUCUGGGAAUUUGAUUCUCCUAUUUGAAUGGCAACCCUGUUUAUUAUAAAUCAAUAGAAAACUAAAAAAUUAGAGAAUGCAAAUUUAAGUGUACCAGUUCUUCCCUAAUUGUAUUUCCAUUUAUGCAUAGAAAUUAAUUGCUUUUGCUAAGUUUAAAAUCAUGUAGUAAAUGUAACUUGUAACACUCAUGCCAUUCACUGAAGAUAAUAGUCAUAUCAUAAAUCUACUGGGAUAUGUAGGUAAAUAUUUGUUUCUUCAACCGUAUACAUUCAAAAAAUAUGCAUGUCUUCUGCUUUUAGAAAAACCUUCAGUUAGGCAUUUUAGCUCAUCAAAGGAAUAUAUUUCUAAUUUGAAUUAAUGCUGUGAAUUUUCACUUGGGAGAGUGAAACCCAUGAAGCAUUUUUAAACUGUCCACCACCAACAUAUGAGGCAGAUAUUGCAGCCUUGUCUUUUGGGGCACAGGUACUCUUAUUGUGUAAAGAAGUGCAGUUACAGCUUAAUUGAUAUCAUGGCUGUUACACAUACUUCAUUCAGUUUUUCAUGCUAAAGAGAAUAGAGAAGUGUAUCCUAGAAAACAUUAGUGAAACAUUAUUUUAAUGAGAAACAAUUUAUCAGCAUUCUAAAAUUUGAUAAUUUUGCUGUCUAUAAUACACUCAUAUCUAUAAAGGUUCAGAAACAAAACAAACCUGACUUAUUCAUAAGCCCAUUUAUUAAACAAAAGAGACGAUGUAUGUAUGAUACCAUUCAUAAAAACUAGGAGUUGUGCUCCCAGUAGCAAUUAUAAAAAAUAUCUUUUACAAAAACUCAACAUUAUAUAGUUGGUAUGAUGGUUAAUACAUUGUAUGUCUCCCAGACGAUGAAAUACACUCUGUACAAUGCCUAGGGCAUGCUGAGUAUCAAAUUGUCAAGCUGAUCUUGGGAAAGAUUAUUCCACGCAAUGCUCUCUAAAGUUCCAGUCACAUGUAGGAGCUACUUAAUGGGCUGCAAUUAGCAUGUCCCACACAUGUUCUAUUGGAUUCAAGUCAAGUGAGAAUACUUGCCAUUCCAUACGGUUGAUAUCCUCAAACUGAAGGCAUUCCUUUACAAUGUUUGCAUGGUGAGGAUGGGCGCAUCAUCUUUAAACACAAAUUCUGCACCCAUGGCACCUCUAAACAGACAUACAUGUUGUUUCAGGGUGAUGUUUCGAUAAAUUUGGCCUAUCACGGUAACAUACAGAUCUGUUCUUGGACCCUUGUAUAAUUCCACCCCAAACAAGCAAUCCUGCACCAUCGUAACAGUGUCGUUUAAUGAUGUCUUGGUGGCAGUGGGUACCUGAAGUUCUCCAUAUGAAAGUCCAACAUGAAUCAUUACGCAAGCCCAGUGUGACGAUGUCCACAUUGCAUGUUGUCUACUGCUGGCGACACUGAGUUGCCGUGAGCAAAAACAUCUGACAGGCCUUGCGAGCAUACAGACUAAUCUGUCCCAAACUUUUGUACACAGUUUGCCUCGAAAUUGUCAUACCCUUGGCUGAAGAUAGCUGACGAAGCAGGUCUGAUGCUGUGCUCUGUCUGCUUCUUUUGGCAGUUACUACCAAAUACUGAUGCCAAAGCCUAGAGAUGACACUUUGGGGUUAUUCCAAGUUCUUUGGAUACUUCCUUGUAAAAAAUCAUUCACGUGCCUCCUCUGUGGCACUGAGUGGCUUACAGAGUGUUUGUGAACAAUUUUACUUCUUUAUUACCAUUCCUUAUAUAUACUUGUCUUACACUCUCAUCAUUGUGAUGUACUAUUGGUGUCACCUGAUGACUUCCUGUAAUUUGAAUAUUAUUUUUGAAGAUGUGUGUGUGAUAAUUUUACAGGUGAAAUUUUUAGUUUAGAGUUUGAUUUUCAUAUGAUUCUGAGUUAUCCUUAAUUUAUGGAUAUGAGUGUAUUUCUGUAGCUGGAACUUUCUGAAUUUAUUUGUAACGUAUUUUUUGUAAUCAUUUCAUUUCUUCAGGUAAAGAGAAUCUUCUAAAUUGUAGUUUAUAGUCAAAUAAGCAAUGCAGAAGAUCUAGAAAUAUAAAAAAUAUAAUUUUUAAUAUCAUAUUAAUGUCAUGAAACAUUCUAAUACUCCCUGAGAUAACUAACUCUACAGAAGAAAAGUAUUCUAAAACUGCACUUUGUAUUUUAAUAUUCUUGCAAAAUUUUGACACACAAAAUAUUUAUAUUCCAAGUAUGGAGCUUGAUGUAAUCGUUCUUAUUCAGACAACUGCUUAAAGACGAAAAUUUGGGUUAUUAGAUUGUAAUUAUUCAGCCUACAAUAUACAACAACAUCUUUGUUUACAUAUACUAAUAUAAAUCAAUAUAUAAUAUAAAAAUUGAUAUUUUAAAUAGUUUUCUAAGUAUAAUUUUGAUUUAAUAAGCUGUCUUAAAAUAAUUGGAUAUUGAGUAUGUCUUAAAGUUCUGUUAUGAAAAUUCAUCUUGAACCUGCCAUUUAAGAUGCUGAUUUUAAUGUAAAGGUUACUGAUCCCUGGACCACAGGAUUUGUGAUAAAUACUUUUUGCCAGAUAUUACACCUUUAUAUUAAAAUAAUUUAGCCUUCCAGUAUUUAAAAAAAGUGUUACGAUUGUGGAAAUUAUAUUUUUUACUUGUUAAGAGAUUUGUAAAACUUGGCAUUUUAACUAUAUCUUUUGCAGAUAUUUUGUUAGAAAAUUAGCUUGUCACAUUUAUUGUUAAAUUGCUAUAUUAUACACAACAUUAUACUUAUUCUGUUUUCCUAGAAAAACAAAGCAAUAAAUAUAUUAUUGAUCUCUAAGCACAAUAUAAUUUUUUCUGAAAUUCUGUAAGUUUCCAAGACGAAAAACUUUUUAAGCUCAUUUUUCAUGCAGCUUUUAAUGCUAUAUACAUAUAUCACAAUAUUAUUAAAUAUUUACAAAUUUCAGCAGUAUUCCACACUUAUGCUUAAUAGCAAUCUCAUAGUUAUUUAGAGAUUUUACAGAAUUUUUUAAAGUUUUGAGAAUUAUACUGUGAUUGCCAAAUGCAAAGUGAACAAUUAACAUUUUAAUGUAAAUAAAUUAAUAUAAUAUAAAUGAAAUCCCAAUCCAAAUGGCCGUAAACAUUUUUUGAAAUUGGUAAGGAAAAAUUAUAAAAAAUAGGAUGCUUAAUGUAUAAUUUAAAACUGACAGUUUUAAUUAAUUAUUGACAUUUUUAACUAAUUAUUGUCUAGCAUGUUUAUUGAAAGUUCAUGAAAUUUCUUUAAAAAUAUUUAUUAAUUUCCAUUGCAUUUUAUUUUUUCGCGAUCACUUUUAAGAGAGUCUCCAUAGCAAUGUAAAUUUUGAUACUGAUGCCAUUCACUAAAGCUUCUAAAUUUAUUUUUCAAAAUAAUAACACGUGAUAUUUCCUAGACUGUUUGCAUUGUUAACUCUUACUUUUCAGCUUCAUUUUAGAGAAGCUGAAAGAAGUUAAAUUUGGUGACUAACAAUUGUAAUGCUACUAGAUGCUUUUACAUGGCUAAUACAGCCAUGAGGCAAACAUGGCAGCAAUCCCAUAGCUAUUAACUCUGCAGACUUCAUCACAUCUCCUAGUCUCUUGGUAGAUGGCCAAAUCUUCCAGUUUUUAAUUUUUAAUUUUUACUAAGGAAAAUGUUUCCAUGCAAUAAAUGAAAUUCAUUGAAUUAAUGAAACUUAAAUAUUAUGCAGAUUCCAUUCACUCUGCCUUUAGUGAAUAUUUCUCAUUAUUGUCUUUGUGCAAGGUGUAAUUUUGGUAUUUCUUCACUUCUUUUUGCAUUCAGUUUCAUAUCAUUAAAAUAAUAUUUAAAUAUAUUUUAAAAAAUUAGAAAAAUGUCCAGGCUUGCUUUAAUUUCAAAACAAUGCACCUGCAAGGCUUCCUCCAUGACCUAAACUUCAAAGGCCACAUAUGUUGCCGCAUUUUAUUAAAUUGCCACAAAUUUUAUUUUUACGUUAGAUAUUGCAUGGUAUAAUAUGUUUACAUUGUAUUUUGCUUUUCUUACUCUUCCAACUUUUGAGGCCCUAUGAUUUAGUGCAGCAAAAAUAUCUUAAAAUAAAUAAAAAUGUAAAUUCUUGCAUGUUAAUGUUAACAGGAAAAUAUUCGGUCAGAUGACAAAAUCACAUAUUUGAGCUCAUGGGCUACACCCUAUACAUAUCACGUGGGAAAGUUCGCAAAUGUGACACGCAGGUGACAAUAAGCAAAAUAAGUCUGAAAUUAUUUCUGAAGAGAAACCAUCUGUGAGUCAAGCAGAGAAACAAGUACUGUGGAGGCGAAGCCAUUUAUCAUAGGCAGAAGAGGUUGUGACUAGAAAGGAGCUAAGGGAUUCAAUAUUAUAAUAAAAGUGCAAUAAGCCUAUUUGCAGGCAAAGUGGAGAUGGGGUUUUGAAGCCAUAUUUUAAUUUAGAAUGUGUGAGCCAAAAUGGGGAAAGUUUAUUUCAGAAAAAUAAGCAUCUAAUAAUUUUACAGAAAUAUGCAAAUUUUUUAAAGAAGCGAACAAAUAAAAAAUACAAAAUGAAAAAUAGAAUAAAAUACAAUUAAUUAGCUGCAAAAAUAAACAGAGUGCUCUAAAUAACACACCAGGUCUUCUGGUGUUAUUGGUUCAUUAUAGUCAUAAUCCAGAGCAGAAAUGUUCUCAAUGUUCAUUUUAUAAAUAUUCUUGAAGAAUUUCUUGGCUAAUUUUGACAUGUAGUUUUCAAUUUUUGGCAAUUUAAAUUCUUCACCUAUUACAUUUACAUUAUUGGGCCACCAGCCAUUUGUGAUCUGCCUAUGUAUAAUAUUUAACAUAAUUUCAUGUCUGGCAAAUUUCUCAUACAGGACAGGCAUAAGUAAUUAUAGAUCUUAUAAUUCGGUAACUUAUUGUCUAUAGGUAAAAUGAAGUUCCAAGAAAUUAAGGUAUGUUUAGCACCGGUUUUUGGUUAAUAACAUCAAGUACUUGAUGUGCUUGGCCCAUGGGAUGAUUAGUAUCAUAUAUUUUGAUGUUCUGCUUGAUCUUCCUGUUUGUUUCUUGUAGUACUGUCUGUCUAUAACAAGAAUGCUUUUCAGCACAAUGUUUACAGCUAUCUGCCAUAGAAACAAGCCUAAAAUAAUUUGUCUUGAAAAAAUGCAUUCGAGUCUGUUACCUUAAUUACACUUAAUGCCAAUGUAUACUUUUUGAAAUAUUGUUUUGUCUUUCCUUCAUUCACCAAAAACAAAACAAAAAUAAUAAUAAUACUCCCCUGAUCCUACUUGAAAUUUAUAAAACCUGUUACUGUAAUGAACAUCUCCAGUUACUAUAAUGAUGUACUAGUGAAAGUAGUUCUGAUAAUAGAUAGUGUCAAGUUAUGUUAUUUACAACUGACUGCAUUUUAUACCUAGAACAUUUUGCUAUUUUCUUUUAUAAAGAAAAAUCUGUUUACUUGCAUAAACUAUCGAGAGAUAGAUUAAAAGUUACCAGCAAAAAGCACAUAAAAUCUCUCUAAUAUGUGAUCAAUGCUAUCUUAUGCAAUUUGAUUUACUUAGUAUUGUAUUAAAAAAACUACAAAAGUUUAAAAUUUGUUUUAAAUAUUUCUGAGGUUGUAAUUCAUGUCUUGACCCUAAAAUGAAACCCUAAAUUUACUCAGAAGUUAGCUCCUUAGAAAGUUGAACAUGAAACAUAUUUGUAAAUACAUGUAGUGCAAUUGAAAUGUUGUAUUUUGUUUUAUUUAAAAGUGUGCAAAACUGUUUUUGAAUUUUUAUGUGGAAGAUAAAGAAAAUAUUCUUAGUUUUUAUAGAAAUUUUAUAAUAAAGUAUGAUUUUAAUAUGUUACAAAACUUUGUUUAUGUGGCAACAUAUAAUUUAAUGCUUUAUUCAUACAUCAAAUAAUUGUAAAAUGUUGUUAAUGAAAGCAAACAAAUACUCUGAAAUUAUUUGAACGACAAAUAAAGAAUUUGAAUGAAACACUA